rnacentral:rRNA from 1 species
AAUUACCCACUCCCAGCACGGGGAGGUAGUGACGAAAAAUAACGAUACGGGACUCAUCCGAGGCCCCGUAAUCGGAAUGAGUACAUUGUAAAAACAUCCCCAAAGAUCAAUUGGAGGGUAAGUCUGGUGCCAGCAGCCGCGGUAAUUCCAGCUCCAAUAGCGUAUAUUAAAGUUGUUGCGGUUAAAAAGCUCGUAGUCGAAUCUGUGUCCCGCGCCGCUGGUUCAUCGCUCGCGGUGUUCAACUGGCGUGUCUCGCGGGACGUCCUGCCGGUGGGCUCGCGUAUCGCUUGCGGUGCGUGGCCCAACUCGUUUCCGUCUCGCGCGGUUAUGAAUCCCAUCGCGGUGCUCUUUAUUGAGUGUCGAGGUGGGCCGGCACGUUUACUUUGAACAAAUUAGAGUGCUUAAAGCAGGCCAAUUUUGCCUGAAUAUUGUGUGCAUGGAAUAAUGAAAUAGGACCUCGGUUCUAUUUUGUUGGUUUUCGGAACCCCGAGGUAAUGAUUAAUAGGAACGGAUGGGGGCAUUCGUAUUGCGACGUUAGAGGUGAAAUUCUUGGAUCGUCGCAAGACGGACAGAAGCGAAAGCAUUUGCCAAAAACGUUUUCAUUGAUCAAGAACGAAAGUUAGAGGUUCGAAGGCGAUCAGAUACCGCCCUAGUUCUAACCAUAAACGAUGCCAGCUAGCGAUCCGCCGACGUUCCUCCGAUGACUCGGCGGGCAGCUUCCGGGAAACCAAAGCUUUUGGGUUCCGGGGGAAGUAUGGUUGCAAAGCUGAAACUUAAAGGAAUUGACGGAAGGGCACCACCAGGAGUGGAGCCUGCGGCUUAAUUUGACUCAACACGGGACACCUCACCAGGCCCGGACACCGGAAGGAUUGACAGAUUGAUAGCUCUUUCUUGAUUCGGUGGGUGGUGGUGCAUGGCCGUU